ACAAAGCAAAUAAUGAAGUGCAUUAAGUAAUACCCAUGAUCCUAUGAGAUUCCCUUUCUUGCGUUUGAAAGUAUUUUUCUUCCUUUUGUUUUUGGACCAUUAUAAAAAAUGUUGUGAGUAAACUCAUUAAAAUGGCCCAUUACCAAAAAAUAAUUUUAGCAACCAGCAAGGUUGUUGCUUCAUGUACCUCCUUUUUGGCUUUCGGAAUGUCAAUCUGACGCUCUUUUUUUGGCUUCCAGAAUGACCAAUCUGAAAGAUAAAAAAAGACAUUUUGAAAAGGAUGCAAGAAAUAAAAUGGGUGAUUUUAAUGAAGCAUUUGCACCCAAUAACCCCCUCCAUCCUCCAUAUUUACAUUCAAGAACUUGCACCCACAAUGCUUCUUAUUGAAAGAACAAGUUUCAUCUCCACACUCCUAGCAAUGCCUCAUUGAAUUGGGACAAGUUUCUAAAGGGGUAGAAAGGAUAUCACUGAAUUGAUCAAUGACACCCUUCUUGCAAGUGACAAGGUUUUAUGCUUCCAAGUCUCCUCCUUCCUUCGAUUAGCACCUAUGGGAAGUCCAAGAUAUGUGAACAACAAUUUUGAGUUUGCAAUUCAAAACCCUAGCAUAAGUCUCCAACAUCGGUCCCUCCACUCCCAAUGCUCCAAAGAAACUUUUUAUGAAAAUUUACUU
rnacentral:lncRNA from 1 species